GAUGAACGCUGGCGGCGUGCCUAAUACAUGCAAGUCGAGCGAACGGACGAGAAGCUUGCUUCUCUGAUGUUAGCGGCGGACGGGUGAGUAACACGUGGAUAACCUACCUAUAAGACUGGGAUAACUUCGGGAAACCGGAGCUAAUACCGGAUGAUAUUUUGAACCGCAUGGUUCAAAAGUGAAAGACGGUCUUGCUGUCACUUAUAGAUGGAUCCGCGCUGCAUUAGCUAGUUGGUAAGGUAACGGCUUACCAAGGCAACGAUGCAUAGCCGAUCUGAGAGGGUGAUCGCCCACACUGGAACUGAGACACGGUCCAGACUCCUACGGGAGGCAGCAGUAGGGAAUCUUCCGCAAUGGGCGAAAGCCUGACGGAGCAACGCCGCGUGAGUGAUGAAGGUCUUCGGAUCGUAAAACUCUGUUAUUAGGGAAGAACAUAUGUGUAAGUAACUGUGCACAUCUUGACGGUACCUAAUCAGAAAGCCACGGCUAACUACGUG
rnacentral:rRNA from 1 species